rnacentral:rRNA from 1 species
UACGGGGGGAGCAAGCGUUGUUCGGAUUUACUGGGCGUAAAGGGCGCGUAGGCGGCCAGCACAAGUCAGUUGUGAAAUCUCCGAGCUUAACUCGGAAAGGUCAACUGAUACUGUGCGGCUAGAGUGCGGAAGGGGCAACUGGAAUUCUUGGUGUAGCGGUGAAAUGCGUAGAUAUCGUGAGGAAGACCAGUGGCGAAGGCGGGUCUCUGGACAGUUCCUGACGCUGAGGCGCGAAGGCCAGGGGAGCAAACGGG